rnacentral:rRNA from 1 species
CGCAUCUGUGCAUGCAGCAUAUCAAUAAGCGGAGGAAAAGAAACUAACAAGGAUUCCCCUAGUAACGGCGAGUGAAGCGGGAAGAGCUCAAAUUUGAAAUCUUAAAGGGUUUCCCUUUACGAAUUGUAGUUUAAAGAAGUGUUUUCUGUUGAGGUUUUGGUAAAAGUUCUUUGGAAUAGGACAUCAUAGAGGGUGAGAAUCCCGUAGUUUGACCUUUACUUUCAACUUUGUGAUACACUUUCAAAGAGUCGGAUUGUUUGGGAAUGCAGUCCAAAAUGGGUGGUAAAUUUCAUCUAAAGCUAAAUAUUGGCGAGAGACCGAUAGCGAACAAGUACCGUGAGGGAAAGAUGAAAAGGAACUUUGAAGAGAGAGUUAAACAGUACGUGAAAUUGUCAAAAGGGAAGCGUUUGACACCAGUGUUGUUUUUCUGAAAAUCAAUUAAAGAACUGUUUAUGCUAAGCUGUUUAGACUUUAUCAGCUAUCUGUUUAGUUUUGAGCUUUUCUUUAAUGCACUUUUCAGUUAACAAGUCAACAUCAAUUUCUUUUGCUGUAAAAAAGCUUGAGGAAGGUGGCUUGAGAUUCGUCUUAAGUGUUUAUAGCCUCUUGCCUAUGCAGUCGGAGAGAUUGAGGUCUGCAGCGUAGAUCCUUCGGGGCUAAAUGCAUUUGUGCUAAGUUAUAGCAUUUUAUAGACAACUUGUUGACUAUGAUUUGUCUUGUAGCUUACUCGCUUAUGUUAUUUUACCUACGCUUAGGAUGUUGAGUCGUAGAGCACGCAG